GUCUGCCUCUGCCGCCCAGGCUGGAGUGCAGUGGCGCCAUCUCAGCUCACUGCAACCGCCGCCUCCCGGGUUCAAGCAAUUCUCUGCCUCCGCCUCCCGACCAGCUGGGAUUACAGUGACGCGCCACCAUGCCCGGCUAAUUUUUGUAUUUUUAGCAGAGACGGGGUUUCACCAUCUUGCCCAGGCUGCUCUUUAACUCCUGACCUCGUGAUCCACCCACCUCGGGCUCCCAAGGUGCUGGGAUUACAGGCGUGAGCCACCGCGCCCGGCCAAAACAAACACUUUUACGACAAUUGAAAAAUAGAAGUUUCCAAUUCAAUUUUGCAACUAAAAAAUAAUAAUAAUGUGGUGCCUUCAUGUUAAACUUUGGAAAAAGCCAGGGAAGUGGCUUGCUCUGGUGAAUAAAUUCUGUAGACCCUUAAGGCUGUUCGCAGCGUACACCAAGACUUCCGAGGCAAGUGGGGGCUCCCCCUGGCGGCUGCGCCGGGUGGCUGCUCCGGGAUUGUGCGGACCUCCGAGCUACACCGUCUCCAACCAACAGAAGCCAGCAGGAACCUGCCUUAGAUGUGGGAAUGAGACAACACAACUUCUCCCAUAGGCCUGGUGGUCAGAGAGGCUGGAUCAAGAAUCUCCACAGCCCAGCGAGAAGCCACGCGAACACACCCCUGUGUGGGUAUCCGUGACCUGGCGGCCUGCAGAACUCCUGGGCCAGAGACGUCCUCAUCCUGUUGGAAUAUCCAGGUAUCUCCACUCCGAAUAUCCUCAUCUUCCUGGAACCCCUCUUUUUCUCCUAACAUUCUCUUAAAUGAAAUUCCAUAUCUGCUACAACACAGAAAGAGAGGCGGAACAAGAAAAACUGGUGAUCCACUAAUAAGAAGGCCCUGGAGCCUCUCGAUGUUUAAUCUUCUCAAGGGAUGAGAAUGUGUCUCGUACUUCUCAGCAUCUGAAACGCAGCCUUCGCUAAUGGGUCAGUUUCACUGGACGUACUCCCAGGAUCAUAGAUGGCAGCCGGGGAAGGCAGUGAGGGUGGAAAUGUCUCACUAGGCUGAAUUGAAGUGAGGCCUACCCGUUGCCUCCUUUGCAUGUGUUUAAGUAUUAGAAGAAUCUAGUAAUUUGCCCAUAAGAGAUAAUCAAACAAGAAAACAAAGGUGUAUGUGCAAAGAUUUGAAUCUUAGCUUUAUUUGAAAUAACAGAAAAUUGGAAGUCAAUUCAUGUCCAUCAGCGUGGGGCUGGCCACCUGCCAAUUCAUGUCCAUUUCCCUGGAGGGAAAUGACCCAACCAUGGAGAGAACGAUGUUCACUGAUUGCAUUGGCGUGGCAAGAACUCCAUGGCAUGUUGCAUCAUGAAGAAAGCUGCCCCGCAAAAUGAGAUGCGAUUGACGUUGAUGUGUCUGUACUUGUGCAAAGAGAGAUUUGGGAAAGGAAGUUUACUGAAGUGUUAACAAUGGGUUACAAGUUUUGAAGUGAUUUUAAUUUCUUUUUUUUUAAGUUUCUGUUAGGCUGGGAUUUUCCCCAUAGAUAUGCAUCAUCUAUGUCAGCAAUCCCCAACCUUUUGGGCACCAGGACAGGUUUCGUGAAAGACAAUUUUUCCACGGACCAGGAGUGGGAGGGACGGUUUCAGGAUGAUUCAAGCACAUUACGUUUAUCAUUAGAUUCUCACAAGGAGCAUGCAAGCUAGAUCCCUUGCAUGCCCAGUUCACAAUAGGGUUCGUGCUCCUAUGAGAAUCUGAUGUUGCCACUGGUCUGACAGGAGGUGGAGCUCAGCUUCGCUCACUUGCCCCACCACUCACCUCCUGCUGUGCAGCCCAGUUCCUAACAGGCCACAGACCAGUAUACCAGUCUGUCACCUGGGGGUUGGGGAUCCCUGAUUUUUGUAAUUGGAAGUAAAGUUGUUCGCAUUACUUUAAAAUAAAGACAGUACCAUCGUUAUAAAGUAUUCUCUAAGUGCAAUCAUAGGGAAAAGUUCUGCUGAAAACUCUAGGGAUGGUUAGUCGUUUUAGGGAAAUACGGGGAACUAGAUGGAUUCUGGUUUUUAUUUAUCUUCCUUCAAAACAGCUACUAGUAAUCUGCAGAAAAGAUGCAUGGGAAAUAAACCAGGAAAACUGAGCCCAAAGUGAGGUGCAAAGGUUCUAAAAGGAUCAGUGGUCAAUGAUGUCGUGGCAUGUAUCAGCUGAAUCCAAAGUUGAUGUGAGUUCCAAAAUUAUACUGAGACUUUGGGGGAAAACAAAGGCUCAGCUAUGCUCAUCCAUCAGAUUUCAGUUCCUUCAUCAGUUCCUUGAGUGGCCACCACUUCUACUGUGAUAAGUCACCACUGACCUGGGCCACUGCUCUGUUCUCAUCACAGUUACAAGACGUUGGAGGAAACACCAGAGCCUAUACAGGGAUGGUUGAUUGUGAGAAAAGGGAGACGCCAUCUGCCCAUUCAGGAAUGUGCGGUGAGACUCUCUCCUUGGGCUCUGCACACCACCGUGAACAUUUUGUCAGCACGGGUGACUCAUAGCUUACACGGAAAACAGUAGCCUGUCCCUAGCAACCACACAUCGUCUUUUCCCCAGACAUUUCCAAUUUCUCUGCACUCCUAUGGAGACUGUUUUCUUCUUGCUUCACUCUUUCUGUGACAUAAGACAGAAAUUUUCACAGCUCUUCCACACCAUGGGUGUAUAUGGACUGAACCAGCAUAACAGCAAAUAAACGGUGGUGGACCCAGGUACUGGAAAUAGCCAGACCACUUACCUUAAGGGAAAAUGUACCAGGAAGAACCUUAGUGUCCAGCCAGCUUCUAGGAACUGCUUUUUGGUCUCCAAAGGAUGGGGACCGGUGGUGGGCCAAGCAGCCUCGGGUGAGUGUGGCCUCCUGGUUCUCGAUGCUGAUACUGAACAUGCAGUAAAACCCUGUGAGGGAGCACGAUGGCUAGGAACAGCCGAUUAGCAGAUGAAUGAGAAUAAAUGGGAGAAAGUGGAGCCUUUUCCAGCCAGUGUUCUUUAACAAUG
rnacentral:lncRNA from 1 species